rnacentral:rRNA from 1 species
CCUACGGGUGGCAGCAGUGGGGAAUAUUGGACAAUGGGGGGAACCCUGAUCCCGCGACGCCGCGUGAGUGAAGAAGUAUUUCGGUAUGUAAAGCUCUAUCAGCAGGGAAGAAAGGAAUGACGGUACCUGACUAAGAAGCCCCGGCUAACUACGUGCCACCAGCCGCGGUAAUACGUAGGGGGCAAGCGUUAUCCGGAUUUACGGGGUGUAAAGGGAGCGCAGGCGGCGCGUUAAGCCUGGUGGGAACGCCCGCGGCCCAACCGCGGGACGGCAUUGGGAACUGGCGCGCUGGGGUGCCGGAGGGGUAGGCGGAAUUCCUAGUGUAGCGGUGAAAUGCGUAGAUAUUAGGAGGAACACCAGUGGCGAAGGCGGCUACUGGACGGUGACUGACGCUGAGGCUCGAAAGCGUGGGGAGCAAACAGGAUUAGAUACCCGGGUAGUC